rnacentral:rRNA from 1 species
GAUGAACGCUGGCGGCGUGCCUAAUACAUGCAAGUCGAGCGAACAGAUGAGGAGCUUGCUCCUCUGACGUUAGCGGCGGACGGGUGAGUAACACGUGGAUAACCUACCUAUAAGACUGGGAUAACUUCGGGAAACCGGAGCUAAUACCGGAUAAUAUAUUGAACCGCAUGGUUCAAUAGUGAAAGACGGUUUUGCUGUCACUUAUCGAUGGAUCCGCGCCGCAUUAGCUAGUUGGUAAGGUAACGGCUUACCAAGGCAACGAUGCGUAGCCGACCUGAGAGGGGGAUCGGCCACACUGGAACUGAGACACGGUCCAGACUCCUACGGGAGGCAGCAGUAGGGAAUCUUCCGCAAAGGGCGAAAGCCUGACGGAGCAACGCCGAGUGAGUGAUGAAGGUCUUCGGAUCGUAAAACUCUGUUAUUAGGGAAGAACAAAUGUGUAAGUAACUAUGCACGUCUUGACGGUACCUAAUCAGAAAGCCACGGCUAACUACGUG